AUGCAUCAUCAUAUAGAUAGCUUAUUUGCAUUGUUCAAAAAACUUUGUAGUCUCAACGAUGAUGCAUACAUGUCAACUAUGGGUGUUGGGUCCAACAAUUCACAUUGGUCUCAAACCAAUGACAUCCAUUUCGAAGACCAUGAGUUUGAGGUGGACGAGUAGGGUGAGGGCAUUGUCGACGCGCCGAAAGGAAGAGCGGGCAAUUACAGCAACAAAGAUGACAUCUUACUAUGCAAUACUUGGUUGCAAGUGUCGAGGGAUCCAUCCGUUGGAGGUGAUCAAAGUAGAGAUGCUUAUUGGGGGCCAAUGAAAAAACACUUUGAUGCUCACAACGUGAGUGGAAUUGACCGCUCUGAGAGAUCACUUCGGUCCCGAUGGUCGACAAUCAACUCGGAUUGUCAAAAGUGGGCGGCCGCACAAAAGGCAGUUGACAAGAUUAACCCAAGUGGCACAAGGGUGGUGGUGGCCUUGGCGGCAUGGGUGGCGGUGGCCUUGGCGCCAUGGGUGACAUGGGUGGCUUCGGAGGUACCAUGA
rnacentral:rRNA from 1 species